ACAACAUUACAUCACUACUGACAGUAUCUUUCAAUAUGCCCAUAUGCCCAUUUACAUUAAUGAGCCAUUUGGGACAGGCACUAUAAAGUCAGCCCAAUCCCUUAGCUCGGGUCCUUUUCCAGCAUACCCAGAAGCUACAGAGAUGGAGAGAGAGAGGAACAGAACGAACAAACAAAGCGCUCAUCCACAACAUUGAUAAAUUUUUGUGACAUAUUUUUCCAGGUCUCUGAAUUCAGAGUACAAGUCACAGGGAAUAACAGUUCAGUGUGUGGCUCCCUUUAUGGUGUCCACUAACAUGACCCACAACUUGCCCCCCAACCUGUUGUUGAAGAGUGCCAGUGCUUUUGCCCGUGAAGCUCUGAACACAGUGGGUCACUCUAGCUACACCAGCGGCUGUGUCUCUCACGCUCUUCAGCACAUUGCUUUGUCCAUUUUCUUCCCUGAUUGGCUGCGCCUUUCAUCCUACUGUGUGAAGCAGACAGAGACAUUUGCACAGAGCAUGGAGAAAAAAAUUGAUGAAAUGACAGAACGUUCUGCAAGCAAAGAGGACUAAGGAGUGCAAAGGAGGUUGCUACUGAAACGUUUGUGGUGCUUUAAAGAGGUCAUAUUGGAAAUUGAUAUGAGAUGUUUUACUUCAUAUGUAGAUAACUAAUUGAUCAAUGUUACUGUUUUUGCAUUGACUGCCAUUUAAAGGUAUUGGUAAUAGGAAAGAGAUUGUGUAAUGUUGAUGUGUUGUUAACAAGCUGACCCCAAAUCCAUCAGGAACUAUAUAGCCUGAGUGCAGCAGAGUAUGAUCUGUGGGAAACGCAACUCUCAAACAGGCUUCUAUAGUACAUAUUCUAGCUAUAUACAUAUUAGGGAUAUAGACUACAACAUUAUAACUGAAUGCUUGGACAUGUGCAUGUUCUGGUUGAUUUGGACUUUUAACAUAGUACAAUUUUUGGUAUCAACCGUCACAUUUUUGUGAUCUCUAUUUUC